rnacentral:misc_RNA from 1 species
GAUGAAGAACGUAGCGAAAUGCGAUAAGUAAUGUGAAUUGCAGAAUUCAGUGAAUCAUCGAAUCUUUGAACGCACAUUGCGCCCCAUGGUAUUCCGAGGGGCAUGCCUGUUCGAGCGUCAUUAUAACCCCUCAAGCUCAGCUUGGUGUUGGGGCCUGCUGCACUGGCAGCCCUUAAAAUCAGUGGCGGCGCCAUCUGGCUCUAAGCGUAGUAAUUCUUCUCGCUAUGGAGUCCUGGUGGAUGCUUGCCAUCAACCCCCAAUUUUUCUAUGGUUGACCUCGGAUCAGGUAGGGAUACCCGCUGAACUUAAGCAUAUCAAUAAGCGGAGGA